AGUAUUAAAUAAAUUCUUCAUAAGAUCUAUGAUAUCUACAUAAGCAUGGACCAAAAAUUGAAAACAGGGCAUAACAAAAGUGGAAUCUGAUGUGUUUCAGAAAAAAAUCAUGAAGACAUUACACAGCUUGGUGAAACUCCUGGUAUGAAGAACAUGAAAAAGGACAUCAACACAGGUGCAGAAUGUCAAAAUUGUCAAAGUUACUCCUGCAUAUCAUUAUUAUAAGCCUUCAAUUGGCUAAAUGACACUUCUAAAACGAAUUCCAAAGCAUCCUCCCAGCUACAAUAGCAAAGAUUAUAAUAGUGACUUCAAGCACAAGCACUAGCAUAUUAAUUUGUUAUUUAAUUUAUAGACCAUAUAUGACAUCGCAUCAUCAACAUCUAAACAUUUUAGUAUCCACUGCAGAACACAGGAGAGCAUACCGAAAAACAACUUUAAUGUGAUAACUCAAAUGUGAUUCUCCAACCAAAAUCCUAAAACUUAUUGUAGCCAGAUGGAAAGAAACAUAACACUAAGCUCAGUGAUGCCAAAACAUCUGGCUCCAAAUCAUCGAUAAAUCAUUAAAACAGUACUGGAAAAAAAUUAAUGGUAAGUAUAAAAUGUAAUGUUUCAUCUACUUCAAGAGAUGCAAAGAAAGUGGUUCUCAAACGUUAUAAGAGCUAAAGUAUAAUGUACCAUUUUUCAUAACCCUUGAAGUAAAUGUGAAAGUGACACAUACCGGGG
rnacentral:lncRNA from 1 species